rnacentral:misc_RNA from 1 species
ACGACCCACUAAUGUGCUAAUCAAGUGCUUGGUCUAGAUAUUUAUUCGUUUGACAGUUGAAACUAUUUGACAAUUUAUAUAUGCCAUGUGCAUGUUAACUUUUUUUUUCCAUUUAGAGACGAUUCAUUUAAUAUUGAUCAUGAAACUGUUAUAAUUCAGUUUGUUAUAAAGACAUUAAUUAACAAAUUGAUAUUUGGUGAAAAAUAUUUGUAAUUGUUUAUUUCACUUUUUAUGAAGAGAAAUAAACUUUGGUAUAUAUACCUCUUUAUAUAACUGUACGCUUUCCUGUCUAUUCCUGAUGUCUAAUAUUCAUUGUGUGUUUGAUUGAAAGGUGAGAUUAAACUUUUUAUAAGAGAACAAGACGGCAUUCCUUCUUCCACACUACGAUCUGAAAGCUUCAAAAGUAAACCACAAAUCUUUUGUCCAACCAUGUGUGAUCUAUAAAUCACCGAAUCCAACUCCCCUUUUGGUCGAAAUUUUUGGAUUUGAAGAAGCAACAGUAGUUGUUUCUUUUUUCAGCAUACCUCAUUACAGUAUUAAAACUGCUUAUGAUAACACCGUUUUAUAUUAAAACGGAGCGGUUCUUGAAUACCUUUAUGAAAAAAAUGGAACCACAGAACACGCAAGUGUUGGGAUGGAGAUCGUACACAUUUUUAUAAGACACGUGUUUAAUUGUGUCAAGGCUGCAAAAAACGUUGACGUGAAAUUGUGAGUUUCUACAGUAUGUGGUAUAAAUCUGUUGUAAAUUUAGAUGCAUUUUUGUAUUUUCAUGUAUAAACGAUAAUGUGGC